rnacentral:lncRNA from 1 species
AAAUACUUCAUAUUUAUAUUAUAAAUUCUGCUCAUCAAACAAUUACAUGGUUACAAUGUAUGCAAUUCACUGAUUACACGUGAAGAAUUGUAUCAUAAUUUAGCAUCUGUAGUUUCAAGACGUCCAAGCUGUACAGAAUGGAGCAAGCACAAAGGCUUGCAAGGUCUUCUACGGGAGCUCAGAGCAUAUGGUUACGGCAAGGUAUCUUAACCAGACUUCAGGGACAUUUCCAACCUGGACAGUAAGAGAAGAAUUGAAAAGUACAUGUAUUAUAAAACAUUAUCUGCAUUACAUUGUAAAACACUCAAAGAAUCUAUUGAGUGCACCAUUCCCACUUUUAUAAGAUGUCUACAUCAUCAAGAGAUUUCUAAUCAAAUUUCCUUUCAAGGCAUCGAGCGAAUAUUCAAUUUAAUAGGAAACUAAAAACGUCAGCAGUUUCAGACCUUGACACACAAAUUAAGCACAUCUAGAUGACCACAAUUACAUCGUGCGAUUACCUCUGAUAUCAAUUUUAGUUUCCUGUAUGUGAAGAUUCCAUAGAACGCCAUCCAAAAACUGCGCAUAUAUAGGACAAAGUAGGAAGUGAUUACAGGAAGUGACAUCCACUACUCAUAUGAAUUUUUUACAUCAUCCGAUCAUCGGAUCUUGUGUUUUGGUAUAAACACACAAAGACUAUAGUGCAAGAUACUCCCUCCGUCCUAAAUUAGUUGUCUUAGAUUUAUCUAGAUACGGAUGUGUCUAACACUAAAACGUGUUUAGAUACAACUUGAGACAACUAAUUUUGGAUGGAGGUUGUAUGAAAUAGUUUCAUCCCAUGGAAAAACAGCAAAAUGCAAACAUUUUUCCAGCAUGAACAUGACAAGUAUAGAAACUAAAAUGUUACUGUUACAUUGAAGUAGUUUACAACAUUCUUACUAGUCUUUGGGCUCCCAGUGACAUGUGUCAAUGUUGUUAUCCAUUGGACUAGCACUUUCUAAAAAAAAUAGAACAAGUUAGAUGUCACAAAGAUGGUGUUGUUUCCAGUCUUAUAUAGACAAUCAGUUGGCAAACAUAUAUGCAGAACACUUAUUUAAUCAAAAAUUGAGUGGUAGGAGACACAUGCAACAAAAAAGAUGAGUAGCUGACAGAACACCUAUUUCUACUAGCAUGAUUUUAGACUUCUAGAGUGCAUCUAUAGCAAGAUUCCUGUCGUGUACUGGUUCAAGAAUGUGAUGCCAUUUUGCUUGCAUCAAAGGAAAGAAGAAUAUUGGAUCAAGGAAAAGGAAAUACUGGACUAUGCGUAGGAAUAUAAGAAGGCAACAUCUAUGCUCUUCAUAUAUGGUUCUACGGCAGGCAGACCAAGAUAAUGUUUCAAGUACUGGCCCAAUAACAAAAGACUAAGCUUCAGAAUACACAGGACAUGCAAAAGCUUAGUUACAGGACAUGCAUACACUGGACAUGUAAAAGCUUCCACUAAUUGUAUGCAUAAAAAGGCUAAGGACAUUCAGGACAUGCAUACACAGGCCAAGCAAAAGCUCAGUUUGCAUGUUUGCUGCAGUUUCAUUUGCAUGAAGCAUAUAAGAAACCAAAUGCUAAAUGAGGUUUCAAUAUUCUGAAAUAGCAGCAAGAAUGUAUCCAAAAGCAAAUACUAAAUCCAAGAAUUAACUAACAAGAUUAUUACCUGCUCAGCUUGCUUGUGGUCGGGUUGCUGCUUUUUCAACUUAGAUUCUACUUCUAGCUGCAUACAUAGAAGCAAGGACUUUUAAGAAAUCAGCCAUAAUAAUCAUUGUUCAAUGGAAGAUUUCUUCAACACAAAUAAACUUGGGCUAUGGGAUGGCAAAGAUACUACUAGUGCAGUCUAGGGAAUAUGUUUGAUAGCUAGUCAUUAUAUUCACAGCUGCAGUGUCAUAAACUCAAAACUUGCUGAACUCAUUUUAGUUACUGCUCGAAGAAAAAGGGACAGAAAUAUCACCUGUCAAAUGUUUCAGCAUGUAAUGGUUUCAGUUUUUUUCACAAUGCGAAUUAAACACUUCUAAAGAAAAUGCUCGAGACUAGACAAAUCAACUCCCGUGUGGUACGAGAAUAUAUGGACUUUAAUCCAAAACUAGAACCUGCAGAUCUAAACAAGCAGAGUCUAGAUCUAGAGUGUGUGUACAAACAGACCCGCAAAAGUAUGGUAUGUCAAAACUCCUAUAAACAUAUUGGGCAUUUUAGUUCUAGGAAAAUUAUAAACUAGAGUAUUGUUUCAUCAAACAACGUCGGUAAUCAACCAAUAGCAAAAUUAAGGCAUGGGAAAUAUGUCAUGUGAAACUGAAGUUGAAAUAGCAAAACUUGAGAUUGGCAUGGGAAGUCAGUACUGGAGAUUGGAAUGAUGGAAAGUAUUGACAUAUGUUUCUUCAAAGGGCCAUACCUUGAUACCAUUUAAUUGUACCUCGUGAUCUGCAAAAGGGACCAACACAAGCACAAAAGUAAAGUUAUCAACCUGAGCAGAUGAACCUGCAUAUGGAUACACUUUGGAAUAAAUAAAAGAAUAAAAGAAGCUACAUGUGGAAAUAACACAUAACGGAGAAUUGCAAACUGUACAGUGAUUUAUCUCGCUUCAGAAAUAAUCCUACUAUAUAUCAAAAGUAAUCAUUGACAAUUUUCAAAAUCCAAAAGGCACAACUUAGAGAGAUGAAGAAAUAAAAUGUAUGAGUUGCUAAACUUUAGCACCUACAUUCCAAUAAGCAAGUACAGCCGAUGAGAAAAUCACAAGUACAUGUAAACUGGUAUAGUAUUGAUAAAACAAACAACACCAGAUCCUUCUAGCACAUGGGUCAAACAAUUGAUAUGCGUCCAAACUCUGGAUCAUACAUCAGCACAAAAGCUCACGAAAGACAAAAGCAAUCUGGAUUAUAUAUCUACUAAAAGAGAGGAGAAAUCCAUAUCGUAC